GCCAGGCGUGGUGGCGCACGCCUGUAAUCUCAGCUACUCAGGAGGCUGAGGCAGAAGAAUCGCUUGAACCUGGGAGGCAGAGGUUGCAGUGAGCCAAGAUUGUGCCACUGCACUCUGGCCUGGGUGACAGAGCGAGACUCUACCUCAA
rnacentral:SRP_RNA from 1 species